CGUCUGCCCCUUAACUCUCCGGACGAAUCUCAACUAAAAGACCUGAUAGAACUUUCAACGGUCAGUUAGUACAUGGAGAUCCACUCAAGGAUGAUUGUGUCAGAGUGUCGGUUGAAAAAUCGAUAUUAAAGAAUCACUGUUUGCCAGUCCCAUCUACUCAUCUCAAAACAAUAGAGGAUGCUAAAGGAUCUGUUGUAGCUUGGCCCAAAGAGUUUGUGAUCUGUUGCUCUACUGGCCUGCCACUUUCAGACCCUGAUGAACAUGAUGCUG